GUGCAUUAAAGAUUUCUCCAUGUCUUUUUUGUGGUUUAACAGCUCUUCAUGAAAAGUGAAACUGAAAGUGUUAGUCACUCAGUCGUGUCCGACUCUGCGAUCACACGGACUGUAGCCCACCAGGCUCCUCUGUCCGUGGAAUUCUCCAGGCAAGAAUACUGGAGUGGGUAGCCAUUCUUUUCUCCAGGGGAUCUUCCCAACCCAGGGAUCGAACCCAGGUCUCCUGCAUCGCAGGCGGAUCCUUGACCAUCUGAGCCACCAGGGAAGCCCCAUAGUUCUUCAUGUGUUAGACUGUAUCAUGGACAUCAUGAAUAUGAAGUUGUGCCGAUUUCAGACUCCACUACUUUUCACUGGAGAGCAGGCAGAACUUGAGCGUUUCUCCUAUAUGCCUCUUUAUCACACGAGCCACCGGGUGGACUACACUUAGCCCUGUGCAAAAAGCAUUGGCCGCAGGGACUUCCCUGGUGGUCCAGCGGCAACAUGUAGCACCAGAGUCCAACUAUUUCUCUUUCUUCAGUGCCCUUAGGUCUUAGUUGCAGCACCCAGGAUCUUUCCUCGUGGCACGUGGAAUUGUCAUCGUGGUGGGUGUGAUUCGCUCUAGCAGCAGCUCACGGACUCAGUUGCCCCAAGGGACAUAGGCUGUUAGUCCCUUGACCAGGUAUUGAACCCAUGUCUCCUAUAUUAGAAGGCAGAUUCUUAACCACUGGACCACCAGGGAAAUCCUCAGAGUUACCUUCUGUAGGAAUGGUCCUAAUGCCCAGUAGAGCCUAUAAUAUCCAGGAGUAAAAGCCCAUAUCUCAUUCUUAUGAAAUGGUAAUUCUCAGCUUUAUCACACAUCUUACUCAUCACAGUUUUCCUGAGUGACUCUGGCCUGCUUUCAAAAAUCAAAGUCACCUCCACAGGAUAUAGAUUCAUUUAUUCAUUUGGAAUACUGAAAAUAAUUUGCUAUGGGCCCUGCAGAUGUUUUAAGAGACAAGUACCAAAGUAGUUCAUUGCAUAACUGUAAUAAGUCUGUAAUCUCUCAAGGUGACAGAGACUAAUAUUCUCUAAUACCUGUUUUCCCCCUCUCUCUUAAAACAAACAAAAACAAUGCUGGUUUUUAAAUAUUAUGAACAAAGGCUAUGUUUCCCAGUCUCUAUUGCACCUAGAUGUGACCAAGUACCUAAAUUUUGGUCAAUGGAAUGGCAACCGAAGUGUCAAGUUCAACUUCCGAGAAGUAUCAUUCAUGGCCAGUGGGGAGGGUACUAUGGCCUGAAUGUUCGUGUCCCUCUAAAAUUCAUGUUAAAAUCCGAACAUGCAAAGGUGAUGGUAUUAGCAGAGGGAGCCUUUGGGAGACACUGAAAUCAUGGUGGUGGAGCCCUCAUGAAUGGGAUCACUGCCCUUGUAAAAGAGCUCCAGAGAGAUUCUUUGCCCCAUCCACCUCGAGAGGACACAGUUAGAAGGCACCGCUAUGAACUGAGAAGAGGCCCUCAUUGGAAAGCAGCCGUGCUGGGACCACGAUCUCAGACAUCCAGCCUCCAAAAUUAUGAGAAAUAAA